rnacentral:rRNA from 1 species
AGAGUUUGAUCCUGGCUCAGGAUGAACGCUAGCUACAGGCUUAACACAUGCAAGUCGAGGGGCAGCAUGUUGGUUGCUUGCAACCAAUGAUGGCGACCGGCGCACGGGUGAGUAACGCGUAUCCAACCUACCCUUGUCCAUCGGAUAACCCGUCGAAAGGCGGCCUAACACGAUAUGCGGUUCUCAGCAGGCAUCUAACGAGAACGAAAUGUGAAGGAGAAGGAUGGGGAUGCGUCUGAUUAGCUUGUUGGCGGGGUAACGCCACCAAGGCGACGAUCAGUAGGGUUCUGAGAGGAAGUCCCCACAUUGGAACUGAGACACGGUCCAAAACUCCUACGGGAGA